rnacentral:rRNA from 1 species
CCCGGGCCUUGUACACACCGCCCGUCACACCACGAAAGCCGGCAACACCCGAAGCCAGUGGCCUAACCCGCAAGGGAGGGAGCUGUCGAAGGUGGGGUUGGUGAUUGGGGUG